rnacentral:rRNA from 1 species
GAUGAACGCUGGCGGCGUGCCUAAUACAUGCAAGUCGAACGAACGGACGAGAAGCUUGCUUCUCUGAUGUUAGCGGCGGACGGGUGAGUAACACGUGGAUAACCUACCUAUAAGACUGGGAUAACUUCGGGAAACCGUAGCUAAUACCGGAUAAUAUUUUGAACCGCAUGGUUCAAAAGUGAAAGACGGUCUUGCUGUCACUUAUAGAUGGAUCCGCGCUGCAUUAGCUAGUUGGUAAGGUAACGGCUUACCAAGGCAACGAUGCAUAGCCGACCUGAGAGGGUGAUCGGCCACACUGGAACUGAGACACGGUCCAGACUCCUACGGGAGGCAGCAGUAGGGAAUCUUCCGCAAUGGGCGAAAGCCUGACGGAGCAACGCCGCGUGAGUGAUGAAGGUCUUCGGAUCGUAAAACCCUGUUAUUAGGGAAGACCAUAUGUGUAAGUAACUGUGCACAUCUUGACGGUACCUAAUCAGAAAGCCACGGCUAACUACGUG